rnacentral:misc_RNA from 1 species
CUGCUCAUACCGUUAAAGAAUCAAACAUUAACUCCUAAAUGCUUAUUAAAACGAUAAAGAUGGUUGGAUUGACAGCAUUUAAAAGGUUGUGGCUACAAUAAACGUGAACGUUACCUCAUAUUUACAUAUAAAUUCAUUUAACAGAUCAAAUAUUUACAUAUAUUUACAUACAACAUUUAAAAGUAAAUAGUUAAAUUAAAUAUUUAUAUAUAAAUUUAUGCACUCAUUGUAAAUAUUUCAAUUAAUUCUGCACUGAUAUCAAUUUCAAUUAAUUCUACACCGGUCUCAAUAUAAAUAUUUAAUAUAACAGGUAGUUAUUUAAUCUAACAGUAGUUAUAAAACUGGCUCUCACAUGAGCCUUGCUCAUAUUAGAUGAGCCCCAUUUGAAAUGUAAUAAAUCCUAAUGCAAUUUAUUGAAACAAUACCUGAAAUCUUUAAAGAAAAUGCAUGCAGGUGUUCUCUUCUUCUCCAUGGAUGGAUCAUCUCCCUGAUCCAUCAUCGAUCAUUGGGAGAGCCAAACCACCAAAUUGUCUUUUCUAGGA